UCUGAGGGCCUGGCCUUUGGCAGGCAGGGAGUGGGGGGCCCUGGGCUCCCAAGUUGUGAGAAGGAGGUCAGAGAGCAGAGAGGAGCCUGGGUGGGCUCUGAGACUGGAGGCAGUGACCUGCGAGGAAAGGGAGUGUGUCCUGGGCACCAAGCCAUGGCAUCUAGUUCAGGGCCCCUCUGCUUCCUCAGAACACCCCGUGGGGUCGCAUGAUCACCCACGUGACAGAUUCUGAAGACAACUCUGCCUUGUGUAGGGGAGGGAGGCCAUGUCAGGCUGCGCGUAGCAAGAACCACGGGGCCUUGAGUCUGAAGUCUGAGUUUGAGUAGAGCUGGGAUGAGUCACUUCCCUUCCCGAAUCCACUUCCCACACCUGAAGAAUGGAGACAUGGUACCCACUUCCCGGGGAAGUGUGUGAGGAUAGAGCAGGAACACGGGAAGGCUUGGUACUGGGAGGGUACGGAUUAUUUUUAUAAGCAAGGAGUGUGACAUCUAUUUUUAGAGGAGAAAGAAUUUCGUUACAAAGAACUCUCCUAGUCCCCUCCCAGAGUGGAUGGGCUGAGGUGCGGGGGAGCAGUAGGCCCGGAGGACUCCCUGAAGAGGUGGCCUGGGGAUUCCUGGCAGAGGGAACGGCCUGUGCAAAGGCCUGGAGACACGCGACUGAAGCGCGCCUAACAAUGGCUACCAUGGAUUCGUGGGCAGGCGCCUGUACACUCAAUCCUCACGGCAGCUCCAGGACACUGGAGUUAGUGCUCCUGUCUCACAGGAAAGGAAACGUUGGCUCAGAAAGAUAAGGAAACCGAAGCACAGAGAGGCAGGUCAUCUGGCUGAGGUCACACAGCCACACGGCGAGAGAGCAGUGAAGCUGGAGUUCCAGCAAGCUCCACCUGGCGAGAAUUCAAGCCCUGCCAUGGGCCACCUCUCUGGAGGAAGAGAAAGCCAGCUUCAGACUCUGCCUCUCUCAAUCCUUAUACAAGGCCAGAGAGCGCUUGAGGCUUCCAGGCACUCCUAUGCUUACACACCUUCCAUGGCUCCCAGCUGCCCUCCAGAUAAAGAACAAUCUCCUCAGUGUGGCCCUUGAGGUCCUGUGAUCUGGCCUCUGUCCACCACCAGGGCCCCCCUCCUGGCCAGAUCUCUGAGCCUCGGCCAAGCUGACCUGCUUCUCUCAGGGCCUCAACAGGGCCGAUCUCCAUCCCUGCUGUUCCCUUGGUCCAGCAUGCUGUUCCCCUCUAGUUGCUUCUCCUUACCCUGGGGGCCUCCACUCAAAUGCCACCUCCUCCACUGGCCGGACGCUGCCAUUAACCUGCUCGAGUGCUCUCCCUGCAAAACUCAGCACAGGCUGGGCACAGUGGCUCAUGCCUGUAAUCCCAGCACUUUGGGAGGCCGAGGUAGGAUGACUGUUCGAGCCCAGGAGUUCAAAACCAGCCUGGGCAACAAAGUGAGAUCCUGUCUCUAUUUUUUAAAAAAUUAGCCGGGCGCAGUGGAGCACAACUGUAGUCCCAGCUACUCAGGAGCUUAAGGCUAGGGGGUAGCUUGAGCCCAGGAGUUCGAGGCUGCAGUGAGCUGUGAUCACAUCACUGCACUCCCACCUGGGUAACAGAGCAAGACCCUGUCUCAAAAAAAAAAAAAAAAAAAAAAGACCCAUAGCACAAUUGUAAUCAUGUGGGUCAUUGUGGGGUGGUGAGUCACAGCUGGUGAGUGGCAGAAUCAAGACCAGGUCCAGGUGGUACAGCCACAGAGCUGGUGCCCCCAAGUACUCGGCUGCUCACACGGGCCCCAAGAGACCUCCUCACUGGCAAGAGGAAGCCACCUCCUCUCAGAAGAAUGAGCAGGGCUAGAGUACAGUGGCACAAUCACUUCUCACUGCAGUAGACAUGAACCACCGUCCCCUGUAACUACUGUUUAAGAAAGUAAAAAGAUGCAGAAGAAGUUAAUCUAAUAUUUUGUUUAACCCACUAUACUCCAAAUAUCAUUCCUACAUGUAAUCAAGAUAAAAAAAAUUAUUAAUGGCUGGGUGCCAUGGCUCACGCCUGUAAUCCCAGCAUUUUGAGAGGCCGAGGCAGGCGGAUCACCUAGGGUCAGGAGUUCAAGACCAGCCUGACCAACGUGGUGAAACCCUGUCUCUACUAAAAAUGCAAAAAUUAGCCAGGAUUGGUGGCGUGUGCCUGUAGUCCCAGCUACUCAAAAGGCUAAGACAGGAGAAUUGCUUGAUCUUAGGAGGCAGAGUCUACAGUGAGCCAAGAUUGCGCUGCUGCACUCUAGCCUGGGCAACAGAGCAAGACUCUGUCUAAAAAAAAAAAUAAUAAUAAAUAAAUAAUCAUUGAGAUAUCUUACUUUCUUCCAUACUAAGUCUUCAAAAUCCAGUGUGUAUUUCACACUUGUAACACAUCUCAGUUUGGAACAGCUGCAUUUCAACUGCUCAACAGCCACAUGUGGCCAGAGGCUACUGCACUGGGCAGCACAGUGCUAGACUAUAAACUCCAUGAGGGCAGGGACCAAGCCAUACCCACAAUUAUUAAAUCUAGCAUCUGACACAGAGUGGACACUCAAGAAAUGUUUGUUGACUGACUAGCUGAAUGAAAGAAUGAAUGAACAAAUGAAUGAAGGAAUGAACAAAUGAUCUAAGGCCUUCUCAGAUCUGAAGCCACACUCCCAGCACAGGCCAUGGGAAGGGCAUGGAGAUGAAUUCCAGCCCCACCUCUGCACCCACUUCUCUGAGUGACUGUAAGUACCUCCACUUUUGGGGCCUCAGUUUCUCCAGCUGGUCAAUGGCUGGGGGGCUGGACUCUUGUGAUUUUUCUGGGCUCUCACUAGAGGACUUUACCCAGAAGAUGGGAGUUGGGCCCUCGGUGAAGUUCCCUCCUCCAUGCCACCCCAUCACCCUACUCUCCCUCCACCUGUAAGAUAGGAGAUCUCAGGAAAGGCCUCCAGGUGGCCUUCUGUACAGAGUGGAGCCACACCCAAGAGGGGAAAGCUGAGGCAAGGCUUGGUACCUUGGCACAGGCAGCAAGGCCAGGGUGGGGGUGCUGAGGCUUGGCCUCCUCCCUCCAGCAUCAUCACCCCCACACCUCACAUUUGUUCAGAGUUGAGAAGAGAGCAGGGCGGGGCUUAUCCUUUCAGUUCUGCAGAGAAGGAUAAAAGAGACCGAGAGACAUGCCAAGACCAGUCUGAGGUCACAUGGGGGGCAUGACAGAACUGGCUACUGCCCUAGACCUCUGUUUUUCUCAUAUGAAAAAUGGAUACAAAAUGUGUCGUCAUCCUAUCAAACAUCAAUGCCUCAAAUCCAAGCUCCACUACUUAACAGCCCUGUGAUCUUGGGCAAGGUUUACCUGGCUGUGCCUCAACAUCCUUAUUUGUAAAUGGGUAUCAUAAUAGUGGCAACCUUGCGGGGUUGUUGAACCAUUAAUGUGUGAACGUAUGUAAAGCGCUCAUAAGAAUAUCUAGGACACUGUGAACGCCAUAUGAGUGAUAGAUAUUAUUAUCAGCCUUUAUCACAGAGCUGUACUGCAGUUUAAAUAAAGGAAGAGGUGUGAC
rnacentral:lncRNA from 1 species